AUGCUGCAGGCGGCCAGGUACCUGUUGGGCUCCCUGGGUGCCAGCGGGUUCGGCUCCAAGUCCACCGCCGAGGAGGUCACGGCCUCUUGCCCGGACCUGGGCUCCCUCACCGCCAUCAUCACCGGCGCGACGUCGGGGGUCGGGGCGGAGACGGCGCGGGUGCGGGCCAAGCGUGGUGCCAGGGUGGUUAUUCCGGCGCCGAGCGUCAAGGCGGCCGAGGACAUGCGCGGGCGCAUCCUUGGCGAGUGCCCCGGCGCCGACAUCCUCGUGCUGCACCUCGACCUCAGCUCCCUCGCCUCCGUCCGGGAGUUCGCUCGCCGCUUCCUCUUCCUAGGCGUGCCCCUCCACCUCCUCAUCAACAACGCCGGCAAGUUCUCCCACGGCCAGCUCGCGCUGUCCGAGGACGGCGUGGAGAUGACCUUCGCCACCAACUACCUCGGCCAUUUCCUCCUGACGAAGCUGCUGCUGGGGAGGAUGGUAGAGACGGCGGCGGCCACGGGGUGCAGGGCCGCAUCACCCUACGACGCGACGCAGGCCUAUGCGGUGUCCAAGCUUGCCAAUGUGCUGCACACCAAGGAGCUCGCCGCCCGCCUCCAGGAGAUGGGCGCGGACGUGACGGUGAACUGCGUGCAGCCGGGCAUCGUCAGGACACGCCUCAACCGCGACAGAGAGGGCCUCGUCACUGACCUCGUCUUCGUGUUGCUCUCCAAGCUGCUCAAGACCAUCCCACAGGGAAGGCUCCCUCUUCUUGCUGACGUUGUGUCCCGUGCAGGCUGCGGCGACCACGUGCUACGCAGCGUGUCCGGCCGCUACUUGGCCGACUGCAACGAGGCUCUCCCGUCGCCGGCCGCCGAAAGCCGCAGCGAGGCUGCGCGGCUCUGGCAGGCGUCGGAGCCCAUGAUCUGUGCCUCAAGCAGUCAACCGGACAGGAACAUCUGA
rnacentral:rRNA from 1 species